CAGCCGCCGCGGUAAUACCGGCGGCCCGAGUGGCGGUCACUAUUAUUGGGCUUAAAGCGUCCGUAGCCGGGUUGGGAAGUCCUCCGGGAAAUCUGGCCGCUUAACGGUCAGAAUGCCGGAGGAUACUCCCAGCCUAGGGACCGGGAGAGGCCGAGGGGAUUCCCGGAGUAGGGGGGAAAUCCUAUAAUCCCGGGAGGACCACCUGUGGCGAAGGCGCUCGGCUGGAACGCGUCCGACGGUGAGGGACGAAGGCCAGGGGAGCAAACCGGAUUAGAUACCCGGGUAGUCCUGGCUGUAAACGAUGCGGACUUUGUGUCGGACAAGCUAUGAGCUUGUCCGGUGCCGGAGGGAAACCGUUAAGUCCGCCGCCUGGGGAGUACGGCCGCAAGGCUGAAACUUAAAGGAAUUGGCGGG
rnacentral:rRNA from 1 species